rnacentral:tRNA from 1 species
GCCUGAGUGGCUCAGUCGGUUAAGCAUCUGACUUUGGCUCAGGUCAUGGUUUCAUGAUUUGUGCGUUUGAGUCCCGCGUCAGGCU